rnacentral:rRNA from 1 species
AGCUAGUUGGUAAAGGUAAAAGGGCUUACCAAGGCGAUGAUGCAUAGCCCGAGUUGAGAGACUGAUCGGCCACAUUGGGACUGAGACACGGCCCAAACUCCUACGGGAGGCAGCAGUAGGGAAUCUUCCACAAUGGACGCAAGUCUGAUGGAGCAACGCCGCGUGAGUGAAGUAAGGUUUUCGGAUCGUAAAGCUCUGUUGUUGGUGAAGAAGGAUAGAGGUAGUAACUGGCCUUUAUUUGACGGUAAUCAACCAGAAAGUCACGGGCUAACUACGUGCCAGCAGCCGCGGUAAAU